GUUCGGUUCUCGAGACAACAAUAGCCCCUCGGAUAUCAAUUCCUCACCAGCUAAAGCCCAUGUCAGUAUUUCCAUUUGAGUUGGGUCUCCAGGAGUAGAGCACAUUUCUUCUCAGGCCUUCAUGCAUGGGGGCUUUUUUUAGCCACGUGUCAAUCUGUAAGGAUUAGCCAUGACAAUAAAUGCUCAGAGCUGGAGCUCUCCCUCACGACCCAGCUGUACAUUCUGGAUUGACAUUGGAGACCAGAUUCCUGGUUAGAUGUGAACUGUUAUGAUGUAAUGAAGAAUGACAAGAGGAUACGUGGGACAGGCUUGUCGGUGCCCCAUCUUCAUUUUGGUCAGGUUUGGAUCGACGUUUUGGGUCAUGUUUAUCCUUGUAAUAAUCCUCAGGAGGCCAUCUUGCAGUGCCGUGUUGCUGUAUUCUCCUUGGUUUGGGUCAUGUUUAUCCUUGUAAUAAUCCUCAGGAGGCCAUCUUGCAGUGCCGUGUUGCUGUAUUCUCCUCGGUUUGGGUCGAGCGUGCACUCGUGGUUUCUGACAUUAUCUAAGAUAAUUCUGAAAGAACUUUGGUGCCUUGGAGAUUCAAUUUUUACUUCGCAAGACAUUCUAAUAUAUGCGUCUUGAAAGACUUGUAAUUUUUUAUUGCGGGAUUUAAGGUUUCUGAGUUUCAAGAUUUUGUCAAGUAAAAGCUUUUAAGAUUCAUUUUGUGUUCAUUCAUGAUUGGUUUAUGACAUGUUAAAGUAUUUAUGAGUAGACCAAGAUUUAAUUUAA